rnacentral:rRNA from 1 species
GCGUUACCCGGAUUUACUGGGCGUAAAGGGCGUGUAGGCGGCUUGGGGCGUCCCAUGUGAAAGGCCACGGCUCAACCGUGGAGGAGCGUGGGAUACGCUCAGGCUAGACGGUGGGAGAGGGUGGUGGAAUUCCCGGAGUAGCGGUGAAAUGCGCAGAUACCGGGAGGAACGCCGAUGGCGAAGGCAGCCACCUGGUCCACUCGUGACGCUGAGGCGCGAAAGCGUG